GGAAAACCUUGUUUUUGGCCUCUUCCCCGCACAUCCCCCUUGCUAGUGACUGAAUCUUUUAACUCCUCCUUGGAGGAACUCUUUCCCUGUUCUCGUAAUUGGCGCCCUAAAAAAGAGGAGAAGAGGAAGGUCGUUCAAGAGAAGGCGGGAGACUCAUCAAUGCCAUGGGUGUUAAAUACAAAGGCACCCUGUAGGUGGUGGAGGAAGCUAUUGAUGCAGUUUAAGAUCUCUUGAAAAGAUUCAUAAUGUCAAAUUGCAAGUCAAUGAAUACUCG
rnacentral:lncRNA from 1 species